UACAGAGGGGGCAAGCGUUAUUCGGAAUUAUUGGGCGUAAAGGGCGCGUAGGCGGCCUGACAAGUGGAAGGUGAAAUCCCUCGGCUUAACCGAGGAACUGCCCUCCAAACUGUCUGGCUUGAGACCGGGAGAGGUGAGUGGAAUUCCCAGUGUAGAGGUGAAAUUCGUAGAUAUUGGGAAGAACACCGGUGGCGAAGGCGGCGACCUGGUCCAUUACUGACGCUGAGGCGCGACAGCGUGGGGAGCAAACAGG
rnacentral:rRNA from 1 species